UUGACAAGUCUAGAGACUGAAGUCUUCCUGGUUAUCCUCAGAACAGGUACAAUUCAAACAUUCCCACCCCUCCACAUAUCUCAGUACUGACAGGGCAAACAUCUCUGGGGCAGUAGUAUAGUUCAGUCUCCAUAGCCCAUUCAGUCUUUGGCCUCC
rnacentral:sRNA from 1 species